rnacentral:tRNA from 1 species
GACUCAUUAGCUCAAUCGGGAGAGCGCCACACUGUCACUGUGGAGGUAAGGAGAUCGAAACUCCUAUGGGUCG